AAAAGCGGAGGAAAAGAAACCAACAGGGAUUGCCUCAGUAACGGCGAGUGAAGCGGCAACAGCUCAAAUUUGAAAUCUGGCCGCAAGGUCCGAGUUGUAAUUUGCAGAGGAUGCUUUUGGCGAGGUGCCUUCCGAGUUCCCUGGAACGGGACGCCAUAGAGGGUGAGAGCCCCGUACGGUCGUGCCACCGAGCCUCUGUAAAGCUCCUUCGACGAGUCGAGUAGUUUGGGAAUGCUGCUCUAAAUGGGAGGUGUACGUCUUCUAAAGCUAAAUACCGGCCAGAGACCGAUAGCGCACAAGUAGAGUGAUCGAAAGAUGAAAAGCACUUUGAAAAGAGGGUUAAAAAGUACGUGAAAUUGUUGAAAGGGAAGCAUUCAUGACCAGACUUGGGCUUGGUUGAACAUCCGGCGUUCUCGCCGGUGCACUCUGCCAGCUCAGGCCAGCAUCAGUUUGCCCCGGGGGACAAAGGCGGCGGGAAUGUGGCUCCCCACGGGGAGUGUUAUAGCCCGCCGUGUAAUGCCCUGGGGUGGACUGAGGUUCGCGCUCGGC
rnacentral:sRNA from 1 species